rnacentral:lncRNA from 1 species
CAUUUUGUUGUGAUCCAUCUUCAUCCAAGUUCAUCCCAACAUCCACGUUUGAUCCCAGCUACAUCCAUUCGCAACAGCCAUAUCCACUGAUCCCAAGAUUCAACCGCAUCCUCCCCUAUUUCGAAACAUCAACAAUAGCAAUGUUCCUCUCAGCCGUGAACACCAACUUCAUCAACUUUAUUCCUAGAUCUUGCUGUUGUGAUCUUUAUCCACAAACCCAGCAUCAUCAUCCUCUCAGUCGUGCACAUCCAUUCCGGGUUCAACUCCAUCCAUGGAUGAGUUCUCUCC